AACAGCAGCAGCUGCAGCUCUCGCUCCCAACUUUACAAAACAAUCAAUUGAUUUGACGGUGAAGCUACAAAACUCUAGAAGUCAAUUCUCUUACUUUUCAGAUUCAUCAGACUUCACAACAAUCAGGGGUUCUGUUUGUGUUGGGGUUGGCACAAAAGCUUCGCUGCAGGAAUAGGAAGAUAUUGGUACAAAGCCUUUGCAUAAUCGGUCAUUUAAGGGGUUUUGUUUGUGUUGGGGUCUGACAUCUUACUGAUUGAUUGGAUUGGUUUGAGGUGAGACUUACUCUUGAAGAACCUAAAGCUGAAACCAGAGUCUUUGAAAAUCCAAUUUUGAAGG